rnacentral:rRNA from 1 species
UACGGGGGGAGCAAGCGUUGCUCGGAUUUACUGGGCGUAAAGGGCGCGUAGGCGGUCAGCACAAGUCAGUUGUGAAAUCUCCGGGCUUAACUCGGAAAGGUCAACUGAUACUGUGCGACUAGAGUGCGGAAGGGGCAACUGGAAUUCUCGGUGUAGCGGUGAAAUGCGUAGAUAUCGAGAGGAACACCUGCGGCGAAGGCGGGUUGCUGGGCCGACACUGACGCUGAUGCGCGAAAGCAUGGGGAGCGAACAGG